UUCCCGGUGGUGUAACAGGCAACACAGCAGGUUUUGGUCCUGCUAUCCCAGGUUCGAAUCCUGGCCGGGAAGCCA
rnacentral:tRNA from 1 species